rnacentral:rRNA from 1 species
CCGGCACGGGUGAGUAACACGUAUCCAACCUGCCGUCUACUCUUGGACAGCCUUCUGAAAGGAAGAUUAAUACAAGAUGGCAUCAUGAGUCCGCAUGUUCACAUGAUUAAAGGUACUCCGGUAGACGAUGGGGAUGCGUUCCAUUAGAUAGUAGGCGGGGUAACGGCCCACCUAGUCUUCGAUGGAUAGGGGUUCUGAGAGGAAGGUCCCCCACAUUGGAACUGAGACACGGCCCAA